UCAAGGACGAGUGGAAGAGAUUUACCCAUGGUCGUUGGUCUUGGUGGCAGACAGAAGAAAACACAGAAUUUCUCAAGCUUGUGGGGGCUUUUACAUCUUGCUAUCACUUGGUGCACAUGUUAUUCCCCAUCAGAAGGAUGGUGACAUGCAACCAUACAGCCAGGGAAGGAACAGCCUAAGUGAGACUGAGUGGAACUGCUGAGGAGAGUGUCAGUGCUAAUCCAACCGGAGGGAUACCUGGCACACAUCACUGCCCCUCAGGGCUUCGCUGCUCCCAGGGAAAGCAAUCACAGCAUUGAUUAGCUGAAGAGGCUUCCUAUUGGUAUUUAAACUGGGUGGAAGAAG